AGCUGCACUCAUUGCCCCCCCUUGUCCUCCAUACCUAUGCUUGCCUCCCUAUGCUCCUGCUACUUGCCCCUCCCGAUGGCAGACUCCCCCACCAUUUGCCCUUUACCCCCUCUGCUGCCUGCCCCCCCAACUCCCUUCCCUGUGCCUCCCCUUCCUGCCAUAUGUGCUCUGGCUCUCCUGUGCUUCCCCCAAGCCACACACUGGAUCUUCCCAGCACACUGCCCCCCACAUCGCAUGGUCUUCCCUGCACUCCCCUCACCCCCCCAUUGCGAGCCCUCUCCUCUACCACGUGAGCCACACCAUUCUGGGGUAGGUGGCAGCUGGGUUCCUGCUUUAGCCUUAUGCUCAGGGCUAAAGCCAGAGCUGAGCUACCACCUGCCCUGGGUCAGUACUUGUAUAUAGAGUGAGGCCCUUUCCCCCGUGUUGCUUGGGGAUAAAAUCUACACCUUGGAUUUGAGUAAAUACAGUAGUUGGGAGAGAGGUUAGACCUGCUUUGAGGAAUAAAAUGCAUGCUCUUUGGUCUGGGAAAGAAGCAGAUAUAGCCCAUUAUCUCUCCUGACUAUAGAGUUGAUCUAAUAAAAAAUAUUACCAAGCAAAUCUUGUUGCUUGUGUAUCGUUACAUCUACCAUUAGCUACUCAGGUUUACAUGUUAGGGUUGCACAGACCCUCAGCUGCUUGACAACAUUACAGCAGCAAUACAGUCAGCUUUUAAUCAUCUGCAUUUGGCUAGGGGGCUAUGACCUUUCUGGUUUGAUGUAAACUUCACCCGUGUUUUUCAAGGGUUUUACUUCUUCCAGUUGAGGCCACUGUCAUGUGCUCUUCCAGGGCCUAUACCUUCAAAUGAUUUGGAGACUGAAGCUAUUGCAAAUCUCAAUACUGCCAGUACUCCAGAUGCACUCCAACCAUCUCUUGGCUUACAGAGAGCAUUUUAGAUGCUUAGCACGGCCUGGAUACAGCUUACAUGAAGGGUCAACUCUCUGUCCUUAGGUCAUACUGCCAAAGCUUCACUCAAAAAAUGCACCUAAGCAGGAUCUCCCUCAUACCAGAAAAGGAGGCUGGUGGAGUUAUUCAUCUUUUAUGUGUAGGUUAUGUUUUUAAGGAAGUGAGAUGCUCAUAUUAAACAGAAGAAAGGUGCAACAGGAACAUGCAGAAGGGAAGAGGUGAGAAAAAAUGGUAGAAGUUGGAAGGCUGUGGAAAAUACAGUCUUUUCCAAAGCCAAACAAGUCCACUCUGUCAGCAGUGAAGCCAAAGUAUAUUAGCCCUGACAGAAGUUCCUUCUGGCCCUCUAGGAACAAAAAUCUCUCCCAGAUGUGGUUCUGCCUUUAGGUCUCCAAACACAAAAAGCAACUAGGUAAGCCAUAGCAACUGCAGCUUGAAACCUAUUUUUCCAGUAAUAGAGGAAUAUAUUUAAGUCUAUAAAAUAUCUUAUGCCCUCUGCUUAUAUUCAAUGCUCACUUAAGCCAACUAUAAAGCAGCUCCAGUAAACUAUAGCAUUCCCUCAGCUUUAACAAAGAAGAGCAGAAGCCUCCUUUAGCCAUUCAGGAAAUAAGCUUCUGUCUUAUGUCCAGUUUUGCAAUGAAUUAAACUUUAUCUAAUGCUAGAGAAAGUGAAGGGAGAUGUAGUUUGAAACAGUGCAAGCACGCAUAUUAUUCUAAUGCAAGGCAGUAAGUAUUAGAAAUCUCUCUGAAAAUUUAAGUGAAGUUGUUAUUAAGAUCAAAUAAUCUGCAAACAGCACAACUCUCUCUUUCUGACCUUGUUACUGGCCAUUAAAAAUAAUUCUGCUUCUGUCCAAGUAACAGCAGCAGUGGUAAUUGACACUCCUCAUUCAUGGACUUUUAAUGGGGUUGUGCACUUGCAAAUAGCAAGUGCUGUAGUAACUCUUCAAUCUCCCACAAUGCAAACAAGUUCAGUAAUGUCUUUCAUGCCGUCUUUCAUGCCACUUUAAUAUCCAAGUUAAGUUUUAGGCUAAACAUAAAACUGAGUAUUUUGCACUUUCAGCUGAAAGAGAAACAUUAACAAAAACCCCUUACACCAUCUAACUGCAUAGCAGAUUUGCAAAAUAAAUCUUCAUGCAUCCAACUAUCUGGAUAUUCAGUUUUUCAUAGUAACCUAAAAUUUUAUAUAGAGAGAAAAAAAAUCGCUGAUUAACUUAAAUUGAAUAUGGACAUGGAGAAUGAAACGUGAAAAACCCCAUAUUAAGUGUCAGAAUAAAUUUGCCUUUUUAAUCUUGCAUUGCUUUGGUUUGAAAUUAUAUAUAAAUUGCAGCAAGAUAAUGUUUCUUAUGUUUAUAUAUUUGAUUUGGUUUUCCUGUGACCUACUAUUCCUCUGUUGCAAUUAAUUUCUGAAUACCUAUUUUAAACUGACAGGAUUGAGUAAGCUUCACAUCAUGGGUUCAGCUUCCAUUCUGUUAGAAGGGGUCUGCCUUCUGCUGUGCCCCUAAAUGAAAAGAACGUGUGAAGGACCACACUUUACCUUUGCUAUUCAAUGCCCGAUACUUAGAAGUCUAAAAUUCUUGUGAAGCAGAGAUCUAAACAUAAGAUCAGUAAAGGAGAUAGUAGAUACAAUUUUUUUAACAACUGCUGUUUUAUAUUUCAAUUAAGUUUAGAAAACUCUAUGAACUAAAAAUUGAAAUAAGCUUCUCAAAUUAGCAUAGAUUAAGUGGUGACCAUUAUUGCAAGAGAAAUACUCUCUGAAAUAGCUUUUUGUUUUGUUGUAAAAAAAGUGAUAAAAAGACAAAAGUCAAUAAAACUCCUAAAAUAAGUCUCUGUAAUUACCAAGAUCAAAAUCCAGUGGCUUUUUAUUAAACAUGAACUUUUGUUCUGCCUUCUGCAAUACGUAAAUAGUGCUGACAAUUGGUUUGUGAGCCACUUGCUACAAUAAAAUGUAAUUGUAUCAUGAGAGAAAGGUGACAAUCAGGAGAUCAUGAAAAAAUUACAUAUUCUCACUGGUGGUUAAUUAGCCAUGCAAAACCCCCUCAAACAGAUAUUCUCUUCUAUUAGGAAUGAUUACUAUGCAGGCCUACAGAUGUCAAUACCACAGUCAUUCAAAUACUUCUUUCCCUACUAAUUGAAGGUUGUAAAGCUCUGGUGCCAAGGUUUUGCUUCCAAAGAGCUAAUUUAUGACUAGAAAGAUAUUUUAUGUCUUCAGUUGCAGCAGCUACAAAACUCAGCAAAUCAGAACCAUCUGUGCACUGAUACUUGAAUCACCAUUCAUCUAGCAGCCUAUCAGUCACAUUAGUUUGCAUCCUGCAUUCUUGGCUCAUGUACACUUACAAUGGUCCAAAGUUCACA